rnacentral:rRNA from 1 species
CAGCAGCCGCGGUAAUACGUAGGGUGCGAGCGUUAAUCGGAAUUACUGGGCGUAAAGCGUGCGCAGGCGGUUCGUUAAGACAGAUGUGAAAUCCCCGGGCUUAACCCGGGAACUGCAUUUGUGACUGGCGAGCUAGAGUAUGGCAGAGGGGGGUAGAAUUCCACGUGUAGCAGUGAAAUGCGUAGAGAUGUGGAGGAAUACCGAUGGCGAAGGCAGCCCCCUGGGCCAAUACUGACGCUCAUGCACGAAAGCGUGGGGAGCAAACAGGAUUAGAUACCCGUGUAGUCCCUGUCUCUUAUAC